ensembl:miRNA
ACCGUGGCUUUAGAUUGUUACUCUAGCAACAGCACCAUGGUAACAGUCUACAGCCAUGGUCG